UAUUUUUCAAAAAGAGAAAGAGAUGCUCAUUAAAAAGAAAAGUGGACUGGAUUUAAUUUCUAGUGAGUUCAUCGAAACAGUGCUGAGAGGCGCUAAUAAAACGUUUAAAUGUUUUUCCAAAAGUACAGGCAGUGUUUCACUCUUCAUUUCAAACAUGUCUAAGGCGUUGCCUGAAUCUUAACUCCGGAAGCAUCACUUCCUAGGGAAAUCUGAAGUGGUCGGGAUUACCCAGCGCUGAAUCAGCCUUACUCGUUUCGUCCGUCCUUCACGUUCGCAUCGUGCAAUAAAUUACUUAUUUCUUUGAACCGUCGUUUUCCAAGCCAAAGAUGUAAAGAGAGAAAACUUAAACCUCUUCUUCAUACUCGAUAGGAGAGUUCAAUUAAUGUAACCUCUCUUAAAUUUUGUAUUAGAAUACCUAACCUCACUCCCAUGAGCUGCUGUGAAAUUCAAAAUGACUAAGGACAAGGAGCAGCGCAGCCAAGGACAUGGCAGCCAAGCAGCUUAGACAAGACUCUGCCCUCAUGCCCCAUCGUGCAUAGUUGAUGCUGCAGGGCGCGGGAAGAAGGCGUGGCUGCCAUGGGGCUGCUGGACUGCCUGGGCGAUCUGCUGCAGGCCCUGGAGGUGGUUGUUUCCCCAUUCCAGUUAACCUCAUGUCAUUUUUCCAUUAUUAAGAGAAGCAAGGAAGUUUUGGAAAACAUUGUGAGUUUAAAAAGGUCUACGCUCACCCAUUCCUAGCCAGGCUCUAUGAUGAAACAAAGGAAAUGAAGAAAAGAAGGAAGGAGGAAGAAGUUUCAAAAUCAAGAAUACUAGAAAUCUUAUUAAGAUGCAGUUCCAUUGAGGACUACACAUUGGAUGCAGUUGGUCAGCCAGUUAUGAAUCCAUCUGGUGAUGAUGCUGUCUAACCCACAUUUUUGUUCUUUUCUUCUUAUUUUGACACUGUCCAAGGACAGGCUCAAGUGUACAAAAUCUGGUGGACUUGGUCAUCCUUAUCUUGGAGGGAAGCCAGGUGAAUGGCAGGGACUUGAAAUCAAGGCAAUGGCAAGAUAGCAAUGGGAACAGCAAUUUUGUGCUGGUCUAGUUUUUCUGAAUCAAGG